rnacentral:misc_RNA from 1 species
UAGUAAUUGUUGUUCAUUAGUAAUCAUUAAUGUUGUUCCGAAGCGUAUUUUAUUCAUUGAUUACGCAUAAAAACAAAGCGAUCUUCAACUAUUGAGUAAAAAAGUCACGAGUUUUAUCAUGGCAGAUAUAACCAGUCAAGAGUUUAUAAACAUUAACGAUGAUUGCAUUAAAGUUAUGGAAAAAGGAAUAUCUGUUACAACAUGUGCUUUGUUCAUAGUAGCAACUAUGGCUGGCAGUGGGAUUUUAGCUAUCCCUAAAGCUUUAAGUGAAUCUGGAUGGACAGGAAUCGUUUUGUUAAUACUUGGUUGCUGCAUGUCACUUUAUUGUGGAAUUAUACUUGGUCAAUGCUGGAUGUUAACAAAUAGAACAUUAGAAAGCUCUAGGCAACACAUACGAGAUCCUUACCCUACGAUUGGAAAGAUUGCAGCUGGUAAAUUGGGAAAACGAAUAGUUGAAAUUUGUGUUCUUGUUACUUUGGUAGGAGUUUGUACUGUUUUUCUCUUACUAUCAGCGAAUCAAAUAUCAUCAAUUGUAAGCAAAAAUAUUGGUUCUCUAAAGCCGCAAAAUGAAUUUAGAGUGUUUGUUUUGAUAUGUGGACUUGUUCUUUUACCAUUUACAUGGCUCAACUCCCCCAAAGAGAUUUGGCAAUUUGCUUUAGCUGCAAGUCUUUGCACAAUAAUAGCAUGCAUAUUUAUAAUUAUCAGAACAAGUAUGUAUUUGUAUGAAAAUGGUGUUGCUUCUAAUGAUAAAAGGACAACAGAAACAUUUGAAUCUUUUUUUUCUGCUUUUGGAACAAUUGCAUUUGCAUUUGGAGGUGCAACAGUUUUUCCAACAUUCCAAAAUGAUAUGAAACUUCCAGAUAAAUUUCCUUGUGCAGCAAUCUACGCAUUUAUUGCUGUACUUUUUAUGUAUAUACCUGUUGCAGUCUUACCUUAUCUUGCUUUUGGUAGUACUGUAGAUGGCAAUAUUUUAAAAACACUCAAAAAACUAGAAGGAAAUGGAAAAUUUAUGAUUACAAUGUCUGAAGUUGUGAUUACUCUUCAUUUGCUGUUUACUUUUGUUAUUACAAUAAACCCAAUAAGUCAACAGCUAGAAAAAUAUUUUAAAACAGAGCACAGUUAUAUCUGUUGCAGAUCUGGGUACAAACAUAUUGAAAAUACAUGUUAAUGAAUGAAGACUUAAACAAUAUAUGCCUGCAAGUGAUUAAAGAAAUACAAAAAGUCAUUGAGCCACCAGUUGCGCCAAAGAUUUUGGUAGAACAAGAGUCAUACUAAGAUCAUCAAUAGUUUUCUUUAUAAUUGGUAUAUCUGAAGCUGUUCCUCAUUUCGAAGUCAUUCUAUCUAUUGUUGGCGGUACAACAGUAACAAUGACAUCUUUUAUAUUGC